AUGAUCUGGCCCAUUAUUGCGUCUCCAUUCUAUUCAUUGCUUCGUCUCCGUUUUGCUUGUCAAGGCCUCGGCCAAAGGUGGAGAAGACAGACCCCAGGAAGGAUUUUGCGCUGCCGUCUUCUUUCGCCGGAAUUGUAUGGGAAUGAAGCAAAAAGCAUGAAGAAAAUAGAGCAGGUCGUGUGUCAUCGUGCACGUAGUCUGCCUUCCAUUGGCGUUAUUGCACCUGGUUAUCUACAGAGGAAGGCAAGGAUAACUAGAUUAAACAUUUCACAAGACCCUCCCAAUUACAGGCACAAACUCCUUCCAAGAUAUUACAAGUGUGGUUGA
rnacentral:rRNA from 1 species